rnacentral:rRNA from 1 species
UGGGGAAUAUUGCACAAUGGGCGAAAGCCUGAUGCAGCAACGCCGCGUGAGUGAUGAAGGUCUUCGGAUUGUAAAGCUCUGUCUUUUGGGACGAUAAUGACGGUACCAAAGGAGGAAGCCACGGCUAACUACGUGCCAGCAGCCGCGGUAAUACGUAGGUGGCGAGCGUUGUCCGGAUUUACUGGGCGUAAAGGGUGCGUAGGCGGAUGUUUAAGUGAGAUGUGAAAUACCCGGGCUUAACUUGGGUGCUGCAUUUCAAACUGGAUAUCUAGAGUGCAGGAGAGGAGAAUGGAAUUCCUAGUGUAGCGGUGAAAUGCGUAGAGAUUAGGAAGAACACCAGUGGCGAAGGCGAUUCUCUGGACUGUAACUGACGCUGAGGCACGAAAGCGUGGGUAGCAAACAGGAUUAGAUACCCUGGUAGUCCACGCCGUAAAACGAUGAGUACUAGGUGUAGGAGGUAUCGACCCCUUCUGUGCCGCAGUAAAACACAUUAAGUACUCCGCCUGGGAAGUACGAUCGCAAGAUUAAAAACUCU